rnacentral:misc_RNA from 1 species
GUGAAUCAUCGAAUCUUUGAACGCAAAUUGCACUCUCUUCGGAGAGGAUGCCUGUUUGAGGGUCAGCCUAAAAAAAAUCAACGUAGUUGCUGUUACGCUGUAACAUUCGUCGGAAAUUGGGUCAUCUUAAACCUUUUGGUUUAAGCGGCUUAAAAUUUUCUUUACGACUCCAAGAACGUGUCUAAGAUUUUAUUUUCUUAUACUUUUAAGGUAUCUAUCUUUAUUAUACUUGGCCUUUCCAUCGG